rnacentral:lncRNA from 1 species
CUCAAACGAGUUUUCUAAGGAUUCAUUCAAGAAAGCAGCAUCAUUUUUUCUGAUGAAUAAAGGGGCACCCCCAACUCUACUGCAUUCGAUGUCCAGAUAGUCUUUUUCGUCGAGCUUUUCUUGAGAAAGGAAUCCCAAAUCAACAUCUUCCAUUGUAUACUUUUUCUAGUUUUGGACUAUUUCCUUUUGAUAUGUUGUGCAACUAAGAGUGACAGCUUGAAGAAGAAGAGUUUGGCUCGGCGAUUUACAGAACGUCUACUAAAAAGUUGGGACAUGAUCAAGGGACAUUGUUCAUACUUGAAAGAGUUUAAUUUUUUACAAUCAUAUAUAUCUUAAUUUUUUUUUUUUUUUUUUUUUUUUUUGAUAAAUUUAUUGAAGCCUUAAACGUCUACCAGGAUUUGUAAAAAAAAACAGUAAAAAUGGUCUCAGACCCAUUAAAACUGUAAACAAACAGUUAUAAAAAAAAUAAAAAAAUAAAAGAACUGCUAAAUUAACGGAGAUGAGAAUCUAUUUUACCGUCGAUUCCUUCAAGCAUUUCAAGGAUUUGGCUAUCAAAUAUUCCAUGCCAAGUUAGGACGCGACUGUUAUGCCAAGAGCUUUCUUCUGAUAAGUCAAAAAACUUAAUGGUUUCAUUACUACUGGCAAUAAUGAUAGAGUCAGUCAUUUCGCAGCGGCCAGUUGUUUCAUUUAAUUGGGAUGUAAGGACAGAAUGCACACAUCGAAUAUCAGGAACACUUGGUAAUACAGAGACCAGACAUUCCAACUGUGGCCAACUAUAAACUGCGAAUCUAUGUUGAACUGUUUCGAGAGAGUAUCCAAAAGUAACGGAAAACUCUCGAUACUUUGGAGACCAAUGUAUCGAUGUAAUUUGAGCACCACAAUAAAGCUCGUCUAUUUUCUUACCAUUGAAGCAAUUGUAAAACCUAAUGUGCUUAUCAUGAGAGCCAGCUCCUGUUGCCAGUAAAGAUCUUUGCCAUGGACAAAAAGACAGAGCUUUGACAGCAGCAUUUUGUUGCCAAACAUAAAGUGGUUGUCUUAAAUCUGAACCUUUGAACAAACAUACCCGGUUGUCAUUGCCUCCACUGGCAAACUGUGAGCCAUCAUGAUUCCAUGUUAGUCCACAUACUUGUUCGUCAUGUGCGUUUGUAAUAGUGGCUACCAAAACAGCUUUCGAAGUAGAUUCACUCCAUAUAAUGUCAUAGACAAAUAUGUUUCCAUUUCCUUUGCCAACCAAAAGUCGAUUUGUUUCCAAUACAGGUUUCCAAGCAAGGACUCCGAUAUCUCCUGGAUGAUGAAUGGAAAUUCUUGGAACUCUUUCAUUGUCUUGCCAAAACUGCAAGGUACCAUCUACACGUCCAACAGCAAGAAUGUCACCAUUGUAAGAAUAGGCUACGCUACUAACAUCGUAUAUACUUUCUUCUAACACACGAGUAGGACCCAAUUCUUUAGACCAAAGAUAAAUGUUUUCUGCAAGACCAAUUGCCAAAUCUCCUUUUGGUGACCAAGACAAUAAAGAAGUGUAAAAAUCGUCUCGUAAUUCCGGGGCAUCUAAAAUACGGAACGGUAACAAAUUUUCCGGUGAUCUGUUCUUUUUCUCAUUCAGUUUCCCUUUAUUAUCUUUUUCGCUUGCUACCAUUGUUGGGCAUUUUUGUGUCAUGUCAGACUUUUGAAGUUUUGCGUAAGUGAAAACAUUAUCAUCUCUUUCUACUUCUAAUGCGUAUUCCAAUAACUGCUGAUAAGUCUCUGAUGCAUUUUUGGUUUUGUUUACUAAGUUGCGAGAAAGCGAACUAUGACGGCCCAGAGAAAUGGUAUCUUUAUUAGAUGUCAUGGGGAUAAAUCUAUCCAAUCCAUUACGAGAAGUCAACCUUUGGCUGUUUCUGUAGGAGCCCUUGGGAUAAGACUGAAAUAAAUUUUUUGAGAUCGGACAUACGUUUGCAGUUUCUUUGUUGGAAGGAUCAAUCAACGUAGGAGUAUUAGAACGUUCUGCAUUUUGACCAUAUACCGUAGAUGAAAAAGAAUUCAUUC